rnacentral:rRNA from 1 species
CAGUCGCCGCGGGAAUACGUAGGGUGCAAGCGUUAAUCGGAAUUACUGGGCGUAAAGCGUGCGCAGGCGGUUUUGUAAGACAGAGGUGAAAUCCCCGGGCUCAACCUGGGAACUGCCUUUGUGACUGCAAGGCUAGAGUACGGCAGAGGGGGAUGGAAUUCCGCGUGUAGCAGUGAAAUGCGUAGAUAUGCGGAGGAACACCGAUGGCGAAGGCAAUCCCCUGGGCCUGUACUGACGCUCAUGCACGAAAGCGUGGGGAGCAAACAGGAUUAGAUACCCCAGUAGUCCCUGUCUCUUAUAC